ensembl:lncRNA
CCUGAACGACACACCUACUGAACGACACACCUACUGAACGACACACCUACUGAACGACACACCUCCUGAACGACACACCUACUGAACGACACGCCUACUGAACGACACACCUCCUGAACGACACUCCUCCUGAACGACACACCUCCUGAACGACACACCUACUGAACGACACACCUACUGAACGACACACCUACUGAACGACACGCCUCCUGAACGACACACCUCCUGAACGACACAGACACGUUUGAAAACACACCACACACAUUCAUUACAAACACAUUGACAGAGGUGGUCUAGACAGCAUCGGUCCUUAGAUGAGAUUAAAAAUAAGAAUCGUUUCAUUAAAUUACAAAACAAAUAUUAAACAUAACAUAAUAUGGUUCAUCUGUGGUUAUAAAUUCUUGUUGCUAAUUUAAAAAGAUUUUCAUUUGUGUGAUUUCUGUAAGAUCAUGCAGACGUUUCAAGUGAUCUCGAGUUCCAGAAAUGGACUCCUUUUACAGAAAAACCUGAUGCCGCCUGAAGAAGGAAAGCGACAAGCAACUGUAACUGACCAAUGGGGGGAGGGACGCGGAGACACGCAGGAAGUUGCCUAGGACACAGGAAGUAGUUACAGAACAGUCAGUCAGUCAAAGGAACCCAACCUCCGCUCCUCCAAAACACAAUUCUCCAAAAACAAAAACAAUGGAAGCUGAAGAAGGAGAGGAGGGUUGUUCCAUCGUCUGUUUUCUCUCCCUGUCUGUUUGGGGGGGAGGGGAGGGGGGGCUUUUUUUCUCUUUUUUUCCCCCACAAAAACAUUAAGAAAGACUGUGUUUGGUGUAACUAUAGCCUUCAAGUAGUGACAACGACCUCGAGACUGCAUGAAAACUACUGUAAAGCUUCCACAACGUGUUUCGUAGGUGGUAGAAAUGCAAGACACUUUGUCACUGUUGCUAGUCGAUGGGGAAGACGAAGACCAGUAAAAGCAUCGUUCCAGACAUUAUAGCCGCGGAAAGAUUCAGAACAAAGUGCUUUUUUAUUUUAAUACAUUGUUGGAGGUUUUCAUCAUUUUUUACGAAAAGCUGCAGCAUGACGUUAUUGAGUCUGUAAAUAGUAUAUCUAUAUAUAUAUAUAUACACAUACAUAUAUAUAUAUACAUAUAAUUAUUAUUAUUGUUACUAGGUGUGGACUCGGAACCAAGUCAUUUAUAAACCUCCAAUAUGUUAUUGUGUUCUGAAGCAUUGUUCCUUGUUUUAACGGAGGGAGGGGGGUUUGGGGGGCAGACGGUGGUCCCAGACCUGAUAUACCUUUGAGAGAGCGAUAUAGUCCCAGACACCUAUCAUUAUACACCCCUUAACAAGCACCUGAUUGGCUAACAGAAUGCCUGAACUCACUGUGUUGUUGAGGUAAUGAUUUGACACACUUGAAGAGGAGUCACUGAGUCAUCUAUGGAUCAGCAUACUCUCCUGCCCUGCCCUGUCCUGUCCUGUCCUGCCCUGUCCUGCCCUACCCUGCCCUGUCCUGCCCUGUCCUGUCCUGCCCUGCCCUGCCCUGUCCUGCCCUACCCUGUCCUGCCCUGUCCUGUCCUGUCCUGCCCUACCCUGUCCUGCCCUGCCCUGUCCUGCCCUACCCUGUCCUGCCCUGUCCUGCCCUGCCCUGUCCUGCCCUACCCUGCCCUGUCCUGCCCUACCCUGUCCUGCCCUACCCUGCCCUACCCUGCCCUGUCCUGCCCUGUCCUGCUGUCCUACCCUGUCCUGCCCUGCCCUGUCCUGCCCUACCCUGUCCUGCCCUACCCUGCCCUAUCCUGCCCUGUCCUGCCCUACCCUGCCCUGUCCUGCCCUGUCCCUACCCUGCCCUGCCCUAGUUUACAAGCCCCUGAUGCAGACACCAUCUAAAGCAGUCAAAAGAAGACUGUAUUAAAUCCUUCAGCGCUUUUCAUAGUUUUUGACACUCGACUUCAGUGUUGACUAAACAAAAGGAAGAUUUUUUUUUUUUUUUGAAGAUUAGGCAGAUAUUUAACCCAGGUUUUACGUUUUCUUUUCAAAUGUUUUAAAUUAUCGUUUUAAAAGGUGUAUCUAAACUACGUGAGGCCCCAACAUGCCCCAACAUGCCCCAACAUGCCCCAACAUGCCCCAACAUGCCC